ACUCCUACGGGAGGCAGCAGUGGGGAAUAUUGCACAAUGGGCGCAAGCCUGAUGCAGCCAUGCCGCGUGUGUGAAGAAGGCCUUCGGGUUGUAAAGCACUUUCAGUGUGAGGAAGGAUGGUGGUCGUUAAUAGCGCAUCAUUUGAUCGUAUGCAACAGAACGAAGACAACCGGCUAACCGUCCGUAGCCCAGCCAGCCGCGGGUAAUACGGAGGGUGCGAGCGUUAAUCGGAAUUACUGGGCGUAAAGCGCAUGCAGGUGGUUUGUUAAGUCAGAUGUGAAAGCCCGGGGCUCAACCUCGGAANGCAUUUGAAACUGGCAGACUAGAGUACUGUAGAGGGGGUAGAAUUUCAGGUGUAGCGGUGAAAUGCGUAGAGAUCUGAAGGAAUACCGGUGGCGAAGGCGGCCCCCUGGACAGAUACUGACACUCAGAUGCGAAAGCGUGGGGAGCAAACAGGAUUAGAUACCCUGGUAGCUACG
rnacentral:rRNA from 1 species